UACGUAGGGUGCAAGCGUUAAUCGGAAUUACUGGGCGUAAAGCGUGCGCAGGCGGCUUUGCAAGACAGAUGUGAAAUCUCCGGGCUUAACCUGGGAACUGCAUUUGUGACUGCAUGGCUGGAGUGCGGCAGAGGGGGAUGGAAUUCCGCGUGUAGCAGUGAAAUGCGUAGAUAUGCGGAGGAACACCGAUGGCGAAGGCAAUCCCCUGGGCCUGCACUGACGCUCAUGCACGAAAGCGUGGGGAGCAAACAGG
rnacentral:rRNA from 1 species